GGGAACUGCUUCUUGCCACAGGCCUUUCUUUCUCUCUCCCUGCCUCAACCUGGCUAAGUAGGUAUAGAGCUGCUAUUGCCUCUGUCAUGCUACGCAAGAGUGAACGUUCUUCUGUCCACCUGAGGAUUGAUUCCAUACCACUGGUAUGUGGUGAAAGAGUAUGUGGACAUCAAGAAACCAUGAUUCUUCCAUGAACUUGAUCAUUCUGCUGAUGUUUCUAUGGAAUGCUCACUCUGCAGUGACACAAGAACAUGCCCAAACCCAAGACCUCAGAUGUCAUCAGACCCACGGAAUGAUUUCAGCACAUUACGCCCUACCAGCUGCUGCAUAAUUAUGACUUUUCCAUUAAAAGCUGGACUUAAUCAUAUGAGAAACUUGGAGAUGUUGGAUUGUAUCAAAGGUGUCCUUCCCUUGAAAUAAAUGGUCCUUGUGUAAAUGA